AUUGAACGCUGGCGGCAUGCUUUACACAUGCAAGUCGAACGGUAACAGGCCGCAAGGUGCUGACGAGUGGCGAACGGGUGAGUAAUGCAUCGGAACGUGCCCAGUCGUGGGGGAUAACUGCUCGAAAGAGCAGCUAAUACCGCAUACGAUCUAUGGAUGAAAGGGGGGGACCGUAAGGCCUCGCGCGAGUGGAGCGGCCGAUGUCAGAUUAGGUAGUUGGUGGGGUAAAGGCUCACCAAGCCAACGAUCUGUAGCUGGUCUGAGAGGACGACAAGCCACACUGGGACUGAGACACGGCCCAGACUCCUACGGGAGGCAGCAGUGGGGAAUUUUGGACAAUGGGCGCAAGCCUGAUCCAGCAAUGCCGCGUGCAGGAAGAAGGCCUUCGGGUUGUAAACUGCUUUUGUACGGAACGAAACGGCUCUGGUUAAUACCUGGGGCUAAUGACGGUACCGUAAGAAUAAGCACCGGCUAACUACGUGCCAGCCGCCGCCGUAAGAC
rnacentral:rRNA from 1 species